UACAGAGGGUGCGAGCGUUGUUCGGAAUUAUUGGGCGUAAAGCGCUGGUAGGUGGCUUGUUAAGUCGCGUGUGAAAGCUUCCGGCUCAACCGGAAAAGUGCGCGCGAAACUGGCGAGCUUGAGUGCCGGAGAGGGUCGCGGAAUUCCCAGUGUAGAGGUGAAAUUCGUAGAUAUUGGGAGGAACACCAGAGGCGAAGGCGGCGACCUGGGAGGUAACUGACACUGAGCAGCGAAAGCGUGGGGAGCAAACAGG
rnacentral:rRNA from 1 species